GAUGAACGCUGGCGGCGUGCCUAAUACAUGCAAGUCGAGCGAACAGACGAGGAGCUUGCUCCUCUGACGUUAGCGGCGGACGGGUGAGUAACACGUGGAUAACCUACCUAUAAGACUGGGAUAACUUCGGGAAACCGGAGCUAAUACCGGAUAAUAUAUUGAACCGCAUGGUUCAAUAGUGAAAGACGGUUUUGCUGUCACUUAUAGAUGGAUCCGCGCCGCAUUAGCUAGUUGGUAAGGUAACGGCUUACCAAGGCAACGAUGCGUAGCCGACCUGAGAGGGUGAUCGGCCACACUGGAACUGAGACACGGUCCAGACUCCUACGGGAGGCAGCAGUAGGGAAUCUUCCGCAAUGGGCGAAAGCCUGACGGAGCAACGCCGCGUGAGCGAUGAAGGUCUUCGGAUCGUAAAACUCUGUUAUUAGGGAAGAACAAAUGUGUAAGUAACUAUGCACGUCUUGACGGUACCUAAUCAGAAAGCCACGGCUAACUACGU
rnacentral:rRNA from 1 species